rnacentral:rRNA from 1 species
CAGCCGCCGCGGUAAUACGAAGGGGGCUAGCGUUGCUCGGAAUGACUGGGCGUAAAGGGCGCGUAGGCGGCUUGCACAGUCAGAUGUGAAAUUCCUGGGCUUAACCUGGGGGCUGCAUUUGAUACGUGUGGGCUAGAGUGUGAAAGAGGGUCGUGGAAUUCCCAGUGUAGAGGUGAAAUUCGUAGAUAUUGGGAAGAACACCGGUGGCGAAGGCGGCGACCUGGUUCAUGACUGACGCUGAGGCGCGAAAGCGUGGGGAGCAAACAGGAUUAGAGACCCCCGUAGUCCCUGUCUCUUAUAA